CGCAGCUGCUCAUUGGUUGGAGGGGGACAUGUGACUGAGUACGGCGGCUGCGUGACCCGGAAUUCCGGUGAGAGGUGAAGAAGGAGGCGGAGCCACCGGAGGAGAUCAACGGAGAGCAGGGCGCGAGCUCCGGCCUGAGAUCGGAGGUGUCCUCGUUGUUCUUCUCUUUGUCUCCUUCUCCUGACGACCUCUGACCCCUCGGCCUCUCCUGGGUCGUCUGUGACCGCACCUGAUGAAGAAGUCUUCCACAGAUCGAGGGAGUAAGAUGCCGCGGUGUUUCGUCCAGCGCUGCUCCUCUUCGGGCAGGAAGAAGGUUUCGCCCAGCGUCAUCUUCCACGUCUUCCCGAACCGGUUGGAUAAGAUCCGGACGUGGCUGCUGUGUAUCCGGCAGAGCGGGCAGGAGAUCGGCGACAUGGAGGACACCGCCGAGAAGAUCCUGGAGGCCAAAAGAGGCGACCGCUACCGGAUCUGCUCCGAACACUUCACAGAAGAUUGUUACGUCCCGGCGGGCUGCGCAAGACCCUGAAGAGAGACGCCGUUCCCUCCGUGUUCCAAGGCGCGGCGCCGAGAGGCGACACUGAGCAGUGGGUGAAGCCGCCAUAUAAGAGAGCGAACGUGGAUCCCGCUACGAGGCGUCCGCGCAAUAGCCCCAGUGUGGUGAAAAUCUGCCCUGCUGUGCGCGCUGUCCCGGUGAGCGUCUUAUCUGUCAUGAGAUGUACAGCCAGUGCAGCACGCCGUAAAGUGAGAGAUCCUGGAGAGGAUCCAAACCUCGGCGCUUUUUCCAUUUUUUUGAUGGAAUAAAUUUCCCUUUCUCGCUGUAUGGCGGCCGCGCUGGACGCAGGAGAAUUGAUCGACUCCGUUCUAUUCAGUUUCUUGCACUUUUCUAUUGGACAUUAUUUUCACUUACGUCCUGUUGUUAUUUUUCUGUAUACAUGCAACUGGCGGUGUCACUUCUCUAAUCCCCCCUCCCUCCUGCUUGUCUGCAUACACAUUCCC